CGAACGCUGGCGGCGUGCCUAAUACAUGCAAGUCGAGCGAAUCUUUUGGGAGCUUGCUCCCGAAAGAUUAGCGGCGGACGGGUGAGUAACACGUGGGCAACCUGCCUAUAAGACUGGGAUAACUUCGGGAAACCGGAGCUAAUACCGGAUACGUUCUUUUCUCGCAUGAGAGAAGAUGGAAAGACGGUCUCGGCUGUCACUUAUAGAUGGGCCCGCGGCGCAUUAGCUAGUUGGUGGGGUAAUGGCUCACCAAGGCGACGAUGCGUAGCCGACCUGAGAGGGUGAUCGGCCACACUGGGACUGAGACACGGCCCAGACUCCUACGGGAGGCAGCAGUAGGGAAUCUUCCGCAAUGGACGAAAGUCUGACGGAGCAACGCCGCGUGAACGAAGAAGGCCUUCGGGUCGUAAAGUUCUGUUGUUAGGGAAGAACAAGUACCAGAGUAACUGCUGGUACCUUGACGGUACCUAACCAGAAAGCCACGGCUAACUACGUGCCAGCAGCCGCGGUAAUACGUAGGUGGCAAGCGUUGUCCGGAAUUAUUGGGCGUAAAGCGCGCGCAGGUGGUUUCUUAAGUCUGAUGUGAAAGCCCACGGCUCAACCGUGGAGGGUCAUUGGAAACUGGGGAACUUGAGUGCAGAAGAGGAAAGUGGAAUUCCAAGUGUAGCGGUGAAAUGCGUAGAGAUUUGGAGGAACACCAGUGGCGAAGGCGACUUUCUGGUCUGUAACUGACACUGAGGCGCGAAAGCGUGGGGAGCAAACAGGAUUAGAUACCCUGGUAGUCCACGCCGUAAACGAUGAGUGCUAAGUGUUAGAGGGUUUCCGCCCUUUAGUGCUGCAGCUAACGCAUUAAGCACUCCGCCUGGGGAGUACGACCGCAAGGUUGAAACUCAAAGGAAUUGACGGGGGCCCGCACAAGCGGUGGAGCAUGUGGUUUAAUUNGAAGCAACGCGAAGAACCUUACCAGGUCUUGACAUCCUCUGACAAUCCUAGAGAUAGGACGUUCCCCUUCGGGGGACAGAGUGACAGGUGGUGCAUGGUUGUCGUCAGCUCGUGUCGUGAGAUGUUGGGUUAAGUCCCGCAACGAGCGCAACCCUUGAUCUUAGUUGCCAGCAUUCAGUUGGGCACUCUAAGGUGACUGCCGGUGACAAACCGGAGGAAGGUGGGGAUGACGUCAAAUCAUCAUGCCCCUUAUGACCUGGGCUACACACGUGCUACAAUGGAUGGUACAAAGGGCUGCAAACCUGCGAAGGUAAGCGAAUCCCAUAAAGCCAUUCUCAGUUCGGAUUGUAGGCUGCAACUCGCCUACAUGAAGCCGGAAUCGCUAGUAAUCGCGGAUCAGCAUGCCGCGGUGAAUACGUUCCCGGGCCUUGUACACACCGCCCGUCACACCACGAGAGUUUGUAACACCCGAAGUCGGUGAGGUAACCUUUAUGGAGCCAGCCGCCUAAGGUGGGAC
rnacentral:rRNA from 1 species